UACGGGGGGAGCAAACGUUGUUCGGAAUUACUGGGCGUAAAGCGCGUGUAGGCGGCACGACAAGUCGGGAGUGAAAGCCCGGGGCUCAACCCCGGAGGGUCUCUCGAAACUGUCGAGCUAGAGUGCGGAAGAGGCAAUCGGAAUUCCCAGUGUAGCGGUGAAAUGCGUAGAUAUUGGGAAGAACACCGGAGGCGAAGGCGGGUUGCUGGGCCGACACUGACGCUGAGGCGCGAAAGCGUGGGGAGCAAACAGG
rnacentral:rRNA from 1 species